rnacentral:tRNA from 1 species
AGGGGCCUUAGUUUAAUUAAAAUGUUUGAUUUGCAUUCAGAAGAUGUGGAGUAAUAUCCGUAGGUCCUAU